CCUACGGGAGGCAGCAGUAGGGAAUCUUCCACAAUGGACGAAAGUCUGAUGGAGCAACGCCGCGUGAGUGAAGAAGGGUUUCGGCUUGUAAAGCUCCGUUGGUAGUGAAGAAAGAUAGAGGUAGUAACUGGCCUUUAUUUGACGGUAAUUACUUAGACAGUCACGGCUAACUACGUGCCAGCAGCCGCGGUAAUACGUAGGUGGCAAGCGUUGUCCGGAUUUAUUGGGCGUAAAGCGAGUGCAGGCGGUUCAAUAAGUCUGAUGUGAAAGCCUUCGGCUCAACCGGAGAAUUGCAUCAGAAACUGUUGGACUUGAGUGCAGAAGAGGGAAGUGGAACUCCAGGUGUAGCGGUGGAAUGCGUAGAUAUAUGGAAGAACACCAGUGGCGAAGGCGGCUCUCUGGUCUGCAACUGACGCUGAGGCUCGAAAGCAUGGGUAGCGAACAGGAUUAGAUACCCUAGUAGUC
rnacentral:rRNA from 1 species